AUUGAACGCUGGCGGAAUGCUUUACACAUGCAAGUCGAGCGAUUCUCCUCGGAGAAGAGCGGCGGACGGGUGAGUAACGCGUGGGUAACCUGCCCUGUACACACGGAUAACAUACCGAAAGGUAUGCUAAUACGAGAUAAUAUACUUUUAUCGCAUGGUAGAAGUAUCAAAGCUCCGGCGGUACAGGAUGGACCCGCGUCUGAUUAGCUAGUUGGUAAGGUAACGGCUUACCAAGGCGACGAUCAGUAGCCGACCUGAGAGGGUGAUCGGCCACAUUGGAGCUGAGACACGGUCCAAACUCCUACGGGAGGCAGCAGUGGGGAAUAUUGCACAAUGGGCGAAAGCCUGAUGCAGCAACGCCGCGUGAGCGAUGAAGGCCUUCGGGUCGUAAAGCUCUGUCCUCAAGGAAGAUAAUGACGGUACUUGAGGAGGAAGCCCCGGCUAACUACGUGCCAGCAGCCGCCGUAACAC
rnacentral:rRNA from 1 species